CAUGACAAUCCCCAGGACCGUGUCACCUCCCCACAGUGGUGACAAAUCUCCCCCACCACAGUGUCACCUCCACACGACGGUGACAAUCCCAGGAGGGUGCCACCACCCCACGACUGUGACAAUCCCAGGACGGUGCCACAUCCCCACAAUGGUGACAAUCCCAGGAAGGUGUCACCUCCCCACGACGGUGACAAUCCCAUGGUGUCACCUCCCCAGGACCGUGUCACCUCCCCACAGUGGUGACAAAUCUCCCCCACCACAGUGUCACCUCCACACGACGGUGACAAUCCCAGGAGGGUGCCACCACCCCACGACUGUGACAAUCCCAGGACGGUGCCACAUCCCCACAAUGGUGACAAUCCCAGGAAGGUGUCACCUCCCCACGACGGUGACAAUCCCAGGAGGGUGCCACUUCCCUCCCCUUUCCGCGGAACUCACGCGUUUCGUUCCCCGCCGGUGUCACCGCCAGGUCCCCGCUCCCAGGAGGGCUCGUGGUGACCCUCGGCCACGUUGUCACCGUGUCCCCGUCCCCGGUGGCUGCGCUGGGGUGUCCUGGUGGCUCCGGGGGCUCUCGUGUCCCCUCCUCGGUGACAUUCACGUUCCCCGACUCCUCUUCUUGGAAGCCGAGAGCUGGGAACGGGAUUUGCCCCUUCCUGUCGAUUCUCCCCCAAAAUCGGGGAUCAGGAAUGGGAAUAUCGACCCCUCAGGGGACGUGGGACACAGUUUGGGGUCAUUGCCACAAGAAGGGCCCCAAAAGGGAAUUUUGGAAAAGAGGAGAGGGAAGGAAAUCCCGAGAAUUCUGAGGGAGCAGGGACAGCAUCCCAAGAGUGGCUGGAGAUGUUCCCAGUGGGAUUUGGGAUGGAGAUCCAGAAAAUUCUGCACCCAGAGGGUGCUGGAGCCCUGGAAAAUCUUCCCAGUGAAUGAUCCCCACCCCAAAAACCUCUGGGAGGGUUUGGAAAAACCCUCCCAGACACAGGGGAAGGAUUUGGGGAUUUGGGGAUGUCCUGGGGUUGGGUUGGAUGAUCCGGGUGGGUUUUUCAGCUCAGGGUGUCUCACAGCUCUCUGAGGGGGCUGAACUGCAGCAGAGCAGAGACCCCACAUCCUGUGGGGUUCACAACUCGCCCCCGAGAAAAAAGAAAAACCCAAAUGGUGUCAGGUUCUCAUGGUGGGAACUGUGGUGGGGGCUGAGCUGGGGCUGUUCCGAAACCCGGGAUUGCAACCUGGGGUUGCGUCACCAGCAGGCAAUUAUAAAUCAUCCUAAAAUGCCCUAAAAAUUCUCAAAAUAUCCCCCAAUAUCCCCAAAUAUCACAAAUGAACUCAAAAUAUCUCAAAAUACCCCAAAUAUCCCAAUUUGGGGUGUGGAAUUGUGGGGUGAGAGGUGGAAGGACCCACCAGGACCACCCGAGUCCCAUUUGUGGCCCUGCCAGGAUUAAAACCAACAAAACCAACCCAAAAUGGUUCUAAAGCCCCUCCUGAAGCUCAGCCAGGGCCCAUUGUGUUGGAUUUGGGGUGCUGGGGCAGCUCAGAAAACCCCAAACCCCUCCUGGAAUCCACAAACCAGGCUCAACAAAGCCGGGCUCAACCCUAAAGCUGAGCUUAACCCCAUGGAAAAGCCCUAAAGGGACCUCCCUGAUCUGCACCUGCUGCCUUCAGCCACUUCCUCUUCCUCAUCCUCGCUCCAGCCCCACACCCCGAAGCCCCCCCCGGCCCCCGGCCCCACUCACCGACCCCAAAGCAGAGCAGGGCGAGGCAGAGCCCCCCAAAACCCCUCGGGCCCAUCCUGCGGGGCCCCAUCCCCACCCCGGCCCCUCUGAAGCUUUUUCCUUCCCCUUUUUGCUCGCAGGAAGCGACGGUUGGUGGGCAAAGGUGGUGAAAUUCGGGGGGGAACUGCUGAAAAGCAUCGCCCGAGGUCAUUUCUCCAUCCCCCGAGGUCAUUUCUUCAUUCCAUGGAAUUAUUUCUCCACCCCAUGGGUUCCUUUCUCCACACCAUGGAAUCAUUCCCAUCCCAUGGAAAUAUUUUUCCACCCCAUGGAUUUAUUUGCCCACUCCACAGAGU
rnacentral:lncRNA from 12 species